rnacentral:sRNA from 1 species
GACCAGUCUUCCAUGGCUCUGGGAACCUG